UACGUAGGUGACAAGCGUUGUCCGGAUUUACUGGGCGUAAAGAGCGCGCAGGCGGUCGAUCAAGUCGAGUGUGAAAGCCCCCGGCUCAACUGGGGAGGGUCAUUCGAUACUGAUCGACUCGAAGGCAGGAGAGGGUAGUGGAAUUCCCGGUGUAGUGGUGAAAUGCGCAGAUAUCAGGAGGAACACCAAUGGCGAAGGCAGCUCGCUGGGACGGUACUGACGCUGAGGCGCGAAAGCGUGGGGAGCAAACAGG
rnacentral:rRNA from 1 species